UGAAAAUAUAAAUCCUCCAUGCUGCUUUCAGUGUCAAUAGCACAUUGUAAUAUCCAAAGCAUUAUGCAUAUGUAAGUUAUUUCAUGAUUAUGGUGGUGGUAGACCCUUGAACUGUACUCUUAUAAAAGUAGUUCAGUGCUUUUAAUGGUUCAUGGACAAUCGUUACUGAAAAUUUUUAAAUGUAUAUUUUUAUACUCCAUGGUCCAUAUCCCAUCACUUUUCUCAUUCUUACAAUCAUUUUCUUUAAAUUCAGCUCUGACGAACAUACACUGGUAAAGGAUGAAGAGCCAAAGAAAAACGCUUCUUCAGGUUCUACUUCAGGAGAAGAAAAAAGAAGCAGUCUAGUUAUUCAAAUGAAAGGUCCAAGAAAGGAAGAAAGAAAAAAAUAAUCUAAAAGAAAACAUAAGACGUAUUCUGAAGAUAAUGACAAUGACUCUGGUUCUGAAACAGACUCUGGUGAUAAAGAUAUAAAAGGGAGAUCAAAAAAAGCUGAGAAAAAGGAAAAGAAGAAACACAAAUGGCCACUUUUUUUCAUUUAAUUUUUAUUAUGGACAAAGUCAAAUGUAUGUAACAGUACAGAGAAUAGUGUAAUGACACCCCCAUGUAUCCAGCACCCAGCUUGAACAAUUAUCAACUUGUAGGAGGUUGCCACUGGCCUCCAAUUAUUUUGAAACCAUCCCAGCAUGGCAGUUUCAAGUAAGGAAGACAGCAUGAAGAAAGCCAAGGUCUGAUGGUGUGACUGCUGCUGCUUCUUUUUUUUUUUUUUUUU